AUAGCGUAUAUUAAAGUUGUUGCAGUUAAAAAGCUCGUAGUUGAACUUCAGGCCUGGCCGGAUGGUCUGCCUAACGGUAUGUACUGUCUGGCUGGGUCUUACCUCUUGGUGAGCCGGCAUGCCCUUUAUUGGUGUGCGUCGGGGAACCAGGACUUUUACCUUGAGAAAAUUAGAGUGUUCAAAGCAGGCCUGUGCCCGAAUACAUUAGCAUGGAAUAAUAAAAUAGGACGUGCGGUUCUAUUUUGUUGGUUUCUAGAGUCGCCGUAAUGAUUAAUAGGGAUAGUUGGGGGCAUUGGUAUUGAGUCGCUAGAGGUGAAAUUCUUGGAUUGACUCAAGACCGACUAUUG
rnacentral:rRNA from 1 species